rnacentral:rRNA from 1 species
CAUGCAAGUCGGGCGGUAACACAGGGAGCUUGCUCCCGGGUGACGAGCGGCGGACGGGUGAGUAAUGUCUGGGAAACUGCCUGAUGGAGGGGGAUAACUACUGGAAACGGUAGCUAAUACCGCAUAAUGUCGCAAGACCAAAGAGGGGGACCUUCGGGCCUCUUGCCAUCAGAUGUGCCCAGAUGGGAUUAGCUAGUAGGUGGGGUAAUGGCUCACCUAGGCGACGAUCCCUAGCUGGUCUGAGAGGAUGACCAGCCACACUGGAACUGAGACACGGUCCAGACUCCUACGGGAGGCAGCAGUGGGGAAUAUUGCACAAUGGGCGCAAGCCUGAUGCAGCCAUGCCGCGUGUAUGAAGAAGGCCUUCGGGUUGUAAAGUACUUUCAGCGGGGAGGAAGGCGUUGUGGUUAAUAACCACAGCGAUUGACGUUACCCGCAGAAGAAGCACCGGCUAACUCCGUGCCAGCAGCCGCGGUAAUACGGAGGGUGCAAGCGUUAAUCGGAAUUACUGGGCGUAAAGCGCACGCAGGCGGUCUGUCAAGUCGGAUGUGAAAUCCCCGGGCUCAACCUGGGAACUGCAUUCGAAACUGGCAGGCUAGAGUCUUGUAGAGGGGGGUAGAAUUCCAGGUGUAGCGGUGAAAUGCGUAGAGAUCUGGAGGAAUACCGGUGGCGAAGGCGGCCCCCUGGACAAAGACUGACGCUCAGGUGCGAAAGCGUGGGGAGCAAACAGGAUUAGAUACCCUGGUAGUCCACGCCGUAAACGAUGUCGACUUGGAGGUUGUUCCCUUGAGGAGUGGCUUCCGGAGCUAACGCGUUAAGUCGACCGCCUGGGGAGUACGGCCGCAAGGUUAAAACUCAAAUGAAUUGACGGGGGCCCGCACAAGCGGUGGAGCAUGUGGUUUAAUUCGAUGCAACGCGAAGAACCUUACCUACUCUUGACAUCCAGAGAACUUAGCAGAGAUGCUUUGGUGCCUUCGGGAACUCUGAGACAGGUGCUGCAUGGCUGUCGUCAGCUCGUGUUGUGAAAUGUUGGGUUAAGUCCCGCAACGAGCGCAACCCUUAUCCUUUGUUGCCAGCGGUUAGGCCGGGAACUCAAAGGAGACUGCCAGUGAUAAACUGGAGGAAGGUGGGGAUGACGUCAAGUCAUCAUGGCCCUUACGAGUAGGGCUACACACGUGCUACAAUGGCAUAUACAAAGAGAAGCGACCUCGCGAGAGCAAGCGGACCUCAUAAAGUAUGUCGUAGUCCGGAUUGGAGUCUGCAACUCGACUCCAUGAAGUCGGAAUCGCUAGUAAUCGUAGAUCAGAAUGCUACGGUGAAUACGUUCCCGGGCCUUGUACACACCGCCCGUCACACCAUGGGAGUGGGUUGCAAAAGAAGUAGGUAGCUUAACCUUCGGGAGGGCGC